AUGGAAAGAGGCCCUGAUCAACAGCAACGUGGACAGGAGAAGACUAUCAACCGCAAUGUUGAGCGGGGCAGUUCUGCCCUUGAUUCCCCCAAGAUGUCUCAGUCUGGUCCAAAAGUGGAAAAAUCCUCUAGCCAACAGCAGGAGGAAGAUAAGCUGCCCAAAAAAGACAACAGGAAAGCAAAAGAAAGCUCUGCAAAGCCUCUGAACCACAAACCUGAGGCCAGGACUAAAGAGAAAAGUGCCUCCUCAUUUCUCAAGAAGAGCAAGGACAAAAGCCCUUUGGCUCCUGCAUCAUCCACCACCACCACCACCACCACCGCUGGAAGAACUACCACCAAAAGAUUUCCCCUAAAGCAGAAAAUACGCGCAGUCAACAUAAAGGCCCUGCAGCUGCCAAAUAUUAACAACCCGUCUCAAGGCAUAAAAGACCUGGAAAUCCGACUGCUGCAAGUCGAGUGCGAGGAGCUCAAAACCCGGCUGGGCUGCCUAAGGGAAGGGCUAGUGGGUCAAAAACCAAGCGAUAUGGAGGAUUUAUUGAAACAGUCUCAGAAGGAGCUGUUGUGGCUUCAGAGGCAGCUGUCCUUCAUCUCAACAGGCGGCCCUGCGUGUGUAUUGUCAACUAGCAAGCUUGGAAAUGAUUUACCAUGUUUGCAGCCUUCAGUGCCACAGAAAACAUUUGAUGAGAUUCGAUUUUUAGAGGAGAAAACCCAGUUUUUUCAAUCUAAUGUCACCACACUAAGUCAAGAAAACCAUCUGUGGAGAUUUUUGAACGAGACAGCUGUGAUGCGAACUGAAUAUAAAGAUUUGAAGGAG
rnacentral:lncRNA from 1 species